AUGUCUGUGAAGAUGCGGACUACCUGCACCUGGACAGAAAGACCCUAUGAAGCUUUACUGUUCCCUGGGAUUGGCUUUGGGCCUUUCCUACGCAGCUUAGGUGGAAGGCGAAGAAGGCCCCCUUCCGGGGGGCCUGAGCCAUCAGUGAGAUACCACUCUGGAAGAGCUCGAAUUCUAACCUUGUGUCAGACCCGCGGGCCAAGGGACAGUCUCAGGUAG
rnacentral:rRNA from 1 species